GACGAACGCUGGCGGCGUGCUUAACACAUGCAAGUCGUACGGUAAGGCCCUUUCGGGGGUACACGAGUGGCGCACGGGUGUGUAACACGUGCGUAACCUGCCCACAACUUUGGGAUAACGCUAGGAAACUGGUGCUAAUACUGGAUAUGUGCUCCUGCUGCAUGGUGGGGGUUGGAAAGCUCAGGCGGUUGUGGAUGGACUUGCGGCCUAUCAGCUUGCUGGUGGGGUAGUGGCAUACCAAGGCGGCGACGGGUAGCCGGCCUGAGGGGGUGACCGGCCACAUUGGGACUGAGAUACGGCCCAGACUCCUACGGGAGGCAGAAGUGGGGAAUAUUGCACAAUGGGCGCAAGCCUGAUGCAGCAACGCCGCGGGCGGGAUGACGGCCUUCGGGUUGAAAACCGCUUUCAGCAGGGACGAAGCUUUUUGUGACGGUACCUGCAGAAGAAGCGCCGGCUAACUACGUG
rnacentral:rRNA from 1 species